GCUCCUCCAGGAGCUGGUUCACCCCCAGCUCGCAGAAGGCACAGGCAGGUUCCUGCAGGGCUCACAAGCCAGGCCCUGCCCAAGAGGGGCAUCCCACGGCAGAGGCCAGGACUCAGGCCCAGCCUCGUGGGAAGACUAGGGCAGGACCCGACUUGGGAGGACCCUGGGAAGCCCCAAAUCCUCAGGAAGUCCCUCCUUCCGGAAGCCGCAGCGCUGCUGAGAUGAGUCCCCCAUGAGGAGCUACAGGACCUUGUCUGACUCAGUCUUAUGGGAGGGUCUCAUCCCAUGGAGAGGGGUCCCCAGGACUCCAGGGUGGGCCCUGCUCAGGCCACCAGCCCCAGCCUGGAAAGGCAAGGUCCUCCCAUACCUGCUGUCCCCACAGAAAUCCUUCGGGCUCACCCUGCAACUGUGGGAUGUGUUUAUCUGGGAGGGCGAGCGGGUACUGACGCCCCUGGAGCAUGCAUCAUUCAAAAUUCACAGGGGUAAGUCCUGUGUGCCCAAGGGUGACCAGGGGAGGGAACACACAGGACAGUUCCCAACUGGCUUGAGGGAAGUGUCCUCCCACUGUCCCCAUGACUCUCUCCUCUGUCCUGAUAGGGGGGUCUGGCCUGGUGGGCUGGGCAAGGCAUGAUCAUACUGAGUCCACCCUCGACAUGACCCAGAUGAAAGUCAGGAGUGUGGUGAGCACUUCCCUGCCUAGCCUUCCCCAGCUGUCACCUCCUGUGCACAGCUGGAUCCCAGGGUGGCCAAGAAGGACCAGGCACCACCUAGUGGGAGGUGGGCCUGGUUGAAAUUGGGUGCAGGCACAGAUCCCCCCAGGGAAUCCUCCUGGCCUGAUGCCCGCCCUGUCCCUAGAGUGCCCCAUGAAGCUUUCCUGGAGCACCAUCUGGGAGUUUCAGGAGCGACUCUCUCAGAGCUGGGCCCUGGAGGACAACACAGUCCUCAGGAACCUUCAAACCUCCAUGAAGGAACUCACAAGGAAACACUGGGACCUGCCACCCCCAGGGAAACACUUGUCUGGGAACGCUAUGCCACAGCUCCACACAGACCCGCAUGUCGGGAGUCCGUGUUUCCUGUGCUGCCAUUUUGAGCACGGCUCCUGGGACUCUGUCACUUCUCCAUCAUCUGUGGACAGCCCUGGAACAAAAAGACAGACCCCACCCAGCGAGCCCACUGGGACCCUGACACCAGGCCCUGCCCUGGCUUAUAACAGAGAAGAGGCCGGUCAAGAGACACCCCAGCAGCAAGGUGGCACCUGCCUGUGACUCCCCUUGGUAGAAGAAGAACUUGGAAUGGAAGGAGCCCAGGCAGUACCCGCCCAGCUGCCUUACAACCCCAGAUGGCUGUUGGACCUUGGUUUUUACUGCUAUUUUAUUUUUAUUUUAUAUUUUUGGCUUGUGGGCCUUGAGAAAUCCCAUUCAAUGGGGGACUUGGUCCCAUCAAGGCCUCAGGGGGGAAGGCUGAGCAUGGGGUUCCCACAGCCCCAGCCAGCCAACAGCAUGCCCUGGGGCCCCUGACCCCACCUGUGGGUCAGAGUCCCUCCUCCAGGGCCCAAGUCCCAGGCUCAGUGGGACCUGGCUUCAACCCGAGUCCUAGGAGGAGAGGGGCACCGUAGGCCUCCAGGUGACCACGCAGGGGACCAGGGCACUUCAAGCCCUGAUGCCGUUAAGGAUUCACAUCAGAGAACCUGGGCAAGCCAGGCCAGAGACACUGAGUCCGUGCAGUGAUGAGGAUGUGGGGGGCUGGCUCAAGGGGGUCAACAGCUGUGAACACUGCUGCCUCUUCCCGGCCUCAUUGCUGCAGUGCAGGCAGUCUGCACCCCGGAGCCUGGCCCAACAGCGCCCCAAGUGCCCUAGUCCACUAUGCCAACAUGGUACCUGGAGGCUUCCCAGCCCUUCCUGCUGCACCACCCCCCUCCUGGAAGCAUUGUCCUGCAGCCUAGCCCCUGUCGCAGCCACAGCAGGCAGCACUGCCAAGCGCCAUCCAGCUCGGCUUCCCAGAGGGCGGGGGCGCCCUGCAGUCAUUGCCUCAGCAGCUCAGACUGUGAAGAUAGUUUCAUCUACAUUCCCAUGUUCCCACCAAAGAGAAUCCCUGCAGAGGAUGCUCUUGAUCCUGAGGUGGGGAAAAUGGCACGCCAGGUGGAUGGAGCCAGCUCCUUUCCCUGGCCACCAUGCUUGCUGGAUGGGCCCACAAAGUGGCCAUCAGACAGGAAUGAGACUCAAGAGACUCAGCAUCCUGCUCGUGCCCUGACCAGGCUGACCGGGCUGACACCACUGCCAAGUGCCCCAUCUGCUGAUGAGAGACUUGGUCGAUCCCUGGGCUGGCACUGUUUCCCAGGAGGACCGGUUGGCCACCUGUGGGCAGGCUGUCCGCACUGUGGAGAGGGCUGAGAUCGGCCUUCACUGCAGGGAGCCCCUACUUGGACACAGACUCGCUGGCCCUGCCUGUUUGCCAUCACAGCAGCCCACAGGGCAUUGCUUGUGACCAGGGUACCCUAUUCACAGUGAGGGACAUGGAGCCAUGGCCCCUGAUCAGGGAACUAACUGUUCUCACUACAUCAGCCGCCACCUGGAAGCAACUGGGCUUAGGAUCGCUCAGUUACCCUGAAGUGAUGAUUUGUCUUACAAGAUAAAUGUUACGCUUUCUACUGGAAACCAGUACACCAGUAUACCAGUGCUGACUCUCUGACAGCCAGAAGGUGUAGUUCUGAGAGUGAAGGUGUGAAAGUGGACAAUGUUCAGUAUUGCACUGAAUGUCUCAGUCGCAAAGUUUUCCUAUGCCUGUCCUGAAGAAAUGGAGCUUUGCUGCUUGGAAGGUCUGAGGACCUAGGCAGAGUGAAGCUUCCCCCAGGGGAAUACAACAAUGGCUCUAUUUAAUAUGAGGAGACAGGGCUAAGUCUGAAACCCAGGGUGUUCUCUGGUGUUCUUGGUGUUUUCAUGCAAAGAAAGUCAAAUAACAAAGUAUUCCCACAGAGGCAUCUGAAAAAGGAGGGGGCAGAACUAUUCAGAACUCAGAGGCUUCAGAAUCGAAGAUGAGGCCAAGCAGGAGACUCCUGACCUGCUGAGGGGAGGGGAAGUAUGUGGGGGUGGCUGGGAGACAACGUCAUAGAGGUCCACCCUCACCUUGUGAUCUGUCAGAGAACUGUGCGCUUGAAUAGUUGUGCACAUCUUCUCUCCACUGAUUACAGUAUUUCUUUCCAUUUGUGACUCUCCAAUCAAGCAGGGAGCUUGCUACAAAAUGCACAUUGCUGUGCCAUAGCCUGGGUCUUGCAAUCCAAGGCUGGCAAGGAUUCCUGUAGGUCAAGGGCCUCAGGUGACUUUCGUGCACACCCAAGGACAGAGUCCUAGAUGACACCUUCCUGCUCAAAAAAGAAGGAACGAGGGUCAUCGAACAGCGAGCCGGUCACGGAAAGGGGUGAAAUUGGUGCUGGUGCAGGAGGGAACAUCCAGGGAGGUUCCAGUGCCUGCCCGGCAGCCCAGGUCCACCGAGGGCCCCGGGGCUGGAGGGAGGUCACGUUCCACUCGGCUCAAAGCGCUGCCUUCAAGCAUCUGAAGAGGGAAAGCCCAUUUAUCUUCUCCAAAAUGCAGGCAAGUUUUCAUACACUGGUGUGAAUGUGUUGGGGUCAUCCAGUGGCUCCCUUAG